rnacentral:rRNA from 1 species
GAUGAACGCUGGCGGCGUGCCUAAUACAUGCAAGUCGAGCGGACGGACGAGAAGCUUGCUGCUCUGAUGGUAGCGGCGGCCGGGUGGGGAACACGUGGAUAACCUACCUAUAAGACUGGGAUGACUUCGGGAAACCGGAGCUAAUACCGGGUGAUAUUUUGAACCGGACGGUUCAAGAGUGAAAGACGGUCUUGCUGUCACUUAUAGAUGGAUCCGCGCUGCAUUAGCUAGUUGGUAGGGUAACGGCUUACCAAGGCAACGAUGCAUAGCCGGCCUGAGAGGGUGAUCGGCCACACUGCAACUGAGACACGGUCCAGCCUCCUACGGGAGGCAGCAGUAGGGAAUCUUCCGCAAUGGGCGAAAGCCUGACGGAGCAGCGCCGCGGGAGUGAUGAAGGUCUUCGUAUCGUAGAACUCUGUUAUUAGGGAAGAACAUAUGUGGAAUUAACUGUGCACAGCUUGACGGUACCUAAUCAGAAAGCCCCGGCUAACUACGUG